AAUCGUACCCCAAACCGACACAGGUGGUCAGGUAGAGAAUACCAAGGCGCUUGAGAGAACUCGGGUGAAGGAACUAGGCAAAAUGGUGCCGUAACUUCGGGAGAAGGCACGCUGACACGUAGGUGAAGUGAUUUACUCAUGGAGCUGAAGUCAGUCGAAGAUACCAGCUGGCUGCAACUGUUUAUUAAAAACACAGCACUGUGCAAACACGAAAGUGGACGUAUACGGUGUGACGCCUGCCCGGUGCCGGAAGGUUAAUUGAUGGGGUCAGCGCAAGCGAAGCUCCUGAUCGAAGCCCCGGUAAACGGCGGCCGUAACUAUAACGGUCCUAAGGUAGCGAAAUUCCUUGUCGGGUAAGUUCCGACCUGCACGAAUGGCGUAAUGAUGGCCAGGCUGUCUCCACCCGAGACUCAGUGAAAUUGAACUCGCUGUGAAGAUGCAGUGUACCCGCGGCAAGACGGAAAGACCCCGUGAACCUUUACUAUAGCUUGACACUGAACAUUGAGCCUUGAUGUGUAGGAUAGGUGGGAGGCUUUGAAGUGUGGACGCCAGUCUGCAUGGAGCCGACCUUGAAAUACCACCCUUUAAUGUUUGAUGUUCUAACGUGGACCCGUAAUCCGGGUUGCGGACAGUGUCUGGUGGGUAGUUUGACUGGGGCGGUCUCCUCCUAAAGAGUAACGGAGGAGCACGAAGGUUGGCUAAUCCUGGUCGGACAUCAGGAGGUUAGUGCAAUGGCAUAAGCCAGCUUGACUGCGAGCGUGACGGCGCGAGCAGGUGCGAAAGCAGGUCAUAGUGAUCCGGUGGUUCUGAAUGGAAGGGCCAUCGCUCAACGGAUAAAAGGUACUCCGGGGAUAACAGGCUGAUACCGCCCAAGAGUUCAUAUCGACGGCGGUGUUUGGCACCUCGAUGUCGGCUCAUCACAUCCUGGGGCUGAAGUAGGUCCCAAGGGUAUGGCUGUUCGCCAUUUAAAGUGGUACGCGAGCUGGGUUUAGAACGUCGUGAGACAGUUCGGUCCCUAUCUGCCGUGGGCGCUGGAGAACUGAGGGGGGCUGCUCCUAGUACGAGAGGACCGGAGUGGACGCAUCACUGGUGUUCGGGUUGUCAUGCCAAUGGCACUGCCCGGUAGCUAAAUGCGGAAGAGAUAAGUGCUGAAAGCAUCUAAGCACGAAACUUGCCCCGAGAUGAGUUCUCCCUGAGACUUAGAGUCUCCUGAAGGAACGUUGAAGACGACGACGUUGAUAGGCCGGGUGUGUAAGCGCAGCGAUGCGUUGAGCUAACCGGUACUAAUGAACCGUGAGGCUUAACC
rnacentral:rRNA from 3 species